ensembl:lncRNA
CAUUUAUAGUUUUAUUCACCACUCCUGUUAGUUUUGGAUGCGCUCGGCUCCAACCAAUCAGACGCAACCUGUGUAAGCAAAGGAUGAUGGGAGAACGGAGAGACCCGUUUAUAAGAAUAAGAAAAGGAGGCGGAAUUGAUUGAUUCUAAUGCAGAUCAGCAUCAAUGUCCACGUGAAGAACCUAGUUAUGCUGCCAGUGUCAACCCAACAAAAGGCACUUUCACAAUAUAUAAAAGAAGUGUAUGGAACUGAGGUGCUUCCUCAGGUUGUUGGAGGAUGGAGAAGAGGACGCAGCCGUGACUUGUGAGAUGGCGUCUGAGUCAGCUACUACUCACUAGGAGAUCAGAAACAUGGUGUCCUUGCAAAAGUGGAAAGAGGCCAGGCCUUGUCUUAUAGACAAAAUGUUAUCUACUCUGGAUCCACAGUCACACCGUGUGUGUCAGUGUGGCAAACAAGUAGUUGUGAGGUGUCUGGACUGCCUGCCUCUUCCAUUCCUUUGUGCUGACUGUGAUAUUGCAGUUCACACACGCUAUGUCCUGCACAACCAAGAGGCAGUAACAGGAGGGUUUUUGCAGCCUUCAUCAGAGUUUCACAAGCCAAUAGGUACGGUUUUUAAGUCCUAUGCAUUUCUUGCUAUGUUCUAUGAGUGGGUGCUGUUAUUGUAUAUUUAUUGUGUAUCAUUCGUUAAUUUCCAAUUCUUUUUAUAUAUAUUGUGUGUUUUUAAUGUUAGUUCGGCUGUUGCCUGUGCAAAGGCCAGACCAUGUGUGUGACUGCCCAGCAGGUAACGUUGAGGUUUCACCCGGCGCAGUUGUGGCUCUUGUAACCAUAAAUGGUUGCCCUUUUGUCACACAGUACAUACACAGUAGAUGUGUUUGCAGGUUUUAGUGCAAAUUGUACAUUGCUAUCAUCAUUGUUUAUUUAUAUAGCACUUUAAAACACACAAGGCUGACCAAAGUGCUGAACAAUAGAAACAUAAUAGAUACAUCUAUAAGAAUUGCUAUCUUGUUUUGAAUUACCCUCGGCCUGCAGUAUAUGUGGGCACCUGUCAAAGGUCAUUUGGAUUUACUUUGCUUUGCUUUGAAAACAACAUGAAAUCUUCACAACAUGAAAAAAAUGAAUGCUUUGACCCAUGACUGAAUUUAUCCUUAUCCUUCCUAAAGGCUGUUAUAACCUUGCACUGCCAGUGGUGAGCUGCACCAGCUGUGACUUAAUGUGGUCCCCUCAGUUAAGGACAUCCUGGGUAGUGGAUAUUGGCCUGGCACCUUAAAUUUCUGCACCCUGUUUUCAAUGGAUGCCUUUCAGUCUUUCUAUGACAUUAAGAAGGCCGCACCAGGGAUGUCAUUUAAGGCAUUUGUCAAAAUGCUGGAUGAAAGAACAGCCCAUUUUUGAAGG